rnacentral:rRNA from 1 species
GAUGAACGCUGGCGGCGUGCCUAAUACAUGCAAGUCGAGCGAACGGACGAGAAGCUUGCUUCUCUGAUGUUAGCGGCGGACGGGUGAGUAACACGUGGAUAACCUACCUAUAAGACUGGGAUAACUUCGGGAAACCGGAGCUAAUACCGGAUGAUAUUUUGAACCGCAUGGUUCAAAAGUGAAAGACGGUCUUGCUGUCACUUAUAGAUGGAUCCGCGCUGCAUUAGCUAGUUGGUAAGGUAACGGCUUACCAAGGCAACGAUGCAUAGCCGACCUGAGAGGGUGAUCGGCCACACUGGAAGUGAGACACGGUCCAGACUCCUACGGGAGGCAGCAGUAGGGAAUCUUCCGCAAAGGGCGAAAGCCUGACGGAGCAACGCCGCGUGAGUGAUGAAGGUCUUCGGAUCGUAAAACUCUGUUAUUAGGGAAGAACAUAUGUGUAAGUAACUGUGCACAUCUUGACGGUACCUAAUCAGAAAGCCACGGCUAACUACGUG